AUUAAUUUUUUUUUUAUAGCUACCAGGCUAGCAGUUACUCUUUUUGUUGAAUUGACAUUUAAUAGUAUACAGAAUUUAUGAAGAUAUUUUCAUUUCCUUCGAAAGAUUUUUUUCGGAUUUGUGGCACUAGAGAGAAAUUGUCAAUUAACAUUACAGAUUCCAAAUGCCUGAUAAGUGAUAACACAAGUCAGAAGACACUUGGAGGAAGAUGAGAGCUUGGAGGUAUCUGGAAGCUCACCCAACAUAAUUAACAAGCUUAGGAUGCCGAUCCAAUCACCUUUUAACCAUGUAUUAUUAUUAUUACCUUGUCUCAUCACGACACUGACAAUUCAAUAAAUAUCUAUAUUAUUUUAUUAUAAA